GCUGGGCGUGGUGGCACAUGCCUGUAGUCCCAUCUACUCAGGAGGCUGAGGCUGGAGGAUUGCUUGAGUCCAGGAGUUCUGGGCUUUAGUGUGCUAUGCCGAUCAGAUGUCCGCACUAAGUUCGGCAUCAAUAUGGUGACCUCCCAGGAGCAAGGGUCCACCAGGUUGCCUAAGGAGGGAUGAACCUGCCCAGGUCGGAAACAGAGCAGGUCAAAACUCCUGUGCUGAUCAGUAGUGGGAUCAUGCCUGUGAAUAGCCAUUGCAUUCCAGCCUGGGCAACAUAGUAAGACCCCAUCUCUU
ensembl:misc_RNA Metazoa_SRP Metazoan signal recognition particle RNA